rnacentral:rRNA from 1 species
GGAGGAAUAUUGGUCAAUGGGCGAGAGCCUGAACCAGCCAAGUAGCGUGCAGGAUGACGGCCCUAUGGGUUGUAAACUGCUUUUAUGUGGGGAUAAAGUGCGUGACGUGUCAUGCAUUGCAGGUACCACAUGAAGAAGGACCGGCUAAUUCCGUGCCAGCAGCCGCGGUAAUACGUAAGGUCCGGGCGUUAUCCGGAUUUAUUGGGUUUAAAGGGAGCGUAGGCUGUCUAUUAAGCGUGUUGUGAAAUAUACCGGCUCAACCGGUGGCUUGCAGCGCGAACUGGUCGACUUGAGUAUGCAGGAAGUAGGCGGAAUUCAUGGUGUAGCGGUGAAAUGCUUAGAUAUCAUGACGAACUCCGAUUGCGCAGGCAGCUUACUGUAGCAUAACUGACGCUGAUGCUCGAAAGUGCGGGUAUCAAACAGG